rnacentral:rRNA from 1 species
UACGGAGGGUGCAAGCGUUAUCCGGAAUCACUGGGCUUAAAGGGUGCGUAGGCGGGCAGGUAAGUCAGUGGUGAAAUCCCCGAGCUCAACUUGGGAAUUGCCGUUGAUACUAUCUGUCUUGAAUAUCGUGGAGGUGAGCGGAAUAUGUCAUGUAGCGGUGAAAUGCUUAGAUAUGACAUAGAACACCCAUUGCGAAGGCAGCUCACUGGACGAUAAUUGACGCUGAGGCACGAAAGCGUGGGGAGCAAACAGG